UAACAACCUGGAAACAGAUGCUAAUACCGGAUAACAACAGAUGAUGCCUAUCAACUGUUUAAAGGAUGGUUCUGCUAUCACUCUUGGAUGGACCUGCGGUGCAUUAGCUAGUUGGUAGGGUAACGGCCUACCAAGGCGAUGAUGCAUAGCCGAGUUGAGAGACUGAUCGGCCACAUUGGGACUGAGACACGGCCCAAACUCCUACGGGAGGCAGCAGGG
rnacentral:rRNA from 1 species